rnacentral:lncRNA from 1 species
UAGUAUCAAAUCAUAAAAAUACAAAUUGUUUAGUCUCUAGGAAAUCUUGUAAGAUUUCCGUUGCUAUUUUUUCUGAAUAGGUGCAAUUUGGGUACUCGGUGCAAUUUGGGUACCCUUACGUUACUAUUCCAAGAAGAGAACUUCCCAUACAUGUACUUUUUAUUUUAAAAUAAAGUAUAUGAAUCAGUCAUGUGAGUGUUGGAUGAUGCCGUUAAAUAGUUUUGUUUAAAAAAAACCCAUCACAAACUAACUGACUUAAAAAGUCACUUUAGUGUCGGUUCAUUAUUAUGGAUACAGAGAGGAAAUAACGGUGCGCUAAAUUUUUAGAUGCGGUAUAAAUACACCUUAUCGCUAUUUGUCUGCCAUUACUGGAUAUCACACAGUUUCCCGUCAAAUUGUAAAAAUUUGACGUCAUAAAACAAAAUAUCUGACGCCACAAUGGAAAAGUGAUUGUUGUAUGCUUCAAAAGUUCAAGAGGUCGGGUCAGCCAGGAUUAGCAAUAAGGUGUAUUGUGUUCCAAAGUUUGUGUCAUUUUUAUCAUACAAUCCGUUCUGACAUAGAAAUAUUAUUGGUUUACAA